rnacentral:rRNA from 1 species
CCUACGGGCGGCAGCAGUGGGGAAUAUUGCACAAUGGGGGAAACCCUGAUGCAGCGACGCCGCGUGAAGGAAGAAGUAUUUCGGUAUGUAAACUUCUAUCAGCAGGGAAGAAAAUGACGGUACCUGAUUAAGAAGCCCCGGCUAACUACGUGCCAGCAGCCGCGGUAAUACGUAGGGGGCAAGCGUUAUCCGGAUUUACUGGGUGUAAAGGGAGCGUAGGCGGUUUAGCAAGUCAGAAGUGAAAGCCCGGGGCUCAACUCCGGGACUGCUUUUGAAACUGUUUGACUAGAGUGCAGGAGAGGUAAGUGGAAUUCCUGGUGUAGCGGUGAAAUGCGUAGAUAUUAGGAGGAACACCAGUGGCGAAGGCGGCUUACUGGACUGUAAAUGACGCUGAGGCUCGAAAGCGUGGGGAGCAAACAGGAUUAGAUACCCGUGUAGUC